rnacentral:tRNA from 1 species
GAUUCCGUAGCUCAGCGGUAGAGCAUCUGACUUUUAAUCAGAGGGUCGAGGGUUCAAAUCCCUCCGGGAUCACCA